UUGGAUCGAGGGAAAACCAAAGUUAUCGAUUAGUCGUCCCGUUCCGAUUAUCGUUGUCCGAGAUUUUGGAGUCAAGUUACGAGCUCGGGGAUCGUCAGUGAAGUUUAUAACACUAUCGACUUUUUUCGGUAUUUUAUAAGUUUGAAACUUUGAACAUAUGGCAUGUAUAGGCUUGAUAUAUUAGUAUGUUUGGUUUUGAAAUUGUAUAUAUUUAGCCAUGUGAAUAUGGCUUGAUCAUAAUGCUUAAAUUCAGGUAUAUUUGAUUAUGGUAUAAGUUAUUUUGGU